GACGUAGGGGGCCAGCGUUGUUCGGAAUUACUGGGUGUAAAGGGUUCGUAGGCGGUGCGGCAAGUCGGGAGUGAAAUCUCUGGGCUUAACCCAGAGGCUGCUUCCGAAACUGCUGUGCUUGAGUGUGGGAGAGGCGCGUGGAAUUGCAGGUGUAGCGGUGAAAUGCGUAGAUAUCUGGAGGAACACCGGUGGCGAAGGCGGCAUCCUGGACCGGCAUUGACGCUGAGGCGCGAAAGCCAGGGGAGCAAACGGG
rnacentral:rRNA from 1 species